GCCUUGGUGGUGUAGUGGUAGUUGCAUGCGUCCCCGGUAUGAAUGAAACGCGGGUUCGACUCCCGUCUGAGGCA